ensembl:snRNA U6 U6 spliceosomal RNA
GUGCUUGCUUUGGGAGCACGUAUACUAAAAUUAGAAUGAUACAGAGAAGAUUACAUGGCUCCCGUGCAAGGGUGACACACAAAUUCUUUUCUUUUCAUCUUUUU